rnacentral:tRNA from 1 species
GACUCCGUGGCGCAACGGUAGCGCGUCCGACUCCAGAUCGGAAGGGGCGGUUCAAACAUGUCGGCGUCA